rnacentral:rRNA from 1 species
GAUGAACGCUGGCGGCGUGCCUAAUACAUGCAAGUCGAGCGAACAGACGAGGAGCUUGCUCCUCUGACGUUAGCGGCGGACGGGUGAGUAACACGUGGAUAACCUACCUAUAAGACUGGUAUAACUUCGGGAAACCGGAGCUAAUACCGGAUAAUAUAUUGAACCGCAGGGUUCAAUAGUGAAAGACGGUUUUGCGGUCACUUAUAGAUGGAUCCGCGCCGCAUUAGCUAGUUGGUAAGGUAACGGCUUACCAAGGCAACGAUGCGUAGCCGACCUGAGAGGGUGAUCGGCCACCCUGGAACUGAGACACGGUCCAGACUCCUACGGGAGGCCGCAGUAGGGAAUCUUCCGCAAUGGGCGAAAGCCUGACGGAGCAACGCCGCGUGAGUGAUGAAGGUCUUCGGAUCGUAAAACUCUGUUAUUAGGGAAGAACAAAUGUGUAAGUAACUAUGCACGUCUUGACGGUACCUAAUCAGAAAGCCACGGCUAACUACGUG